AACAUUGUGGCAUAGUGGUUUGAGUGCUGGAUUACAACUCUGGAGACCAGGGUUCAAUUCCCUGCUCAGCCA